rnacentral:lncRNA from 1 species
CUGACUAAAUACUUUGUCGAUCCACUGUACAUCAAACUAUAAUAACUAAGACAGCCUAAUUUUGUCUUGUCUCUUGCUUUCAUAUUUUUGUAAUGGUUUAACAGGAACUGGAGGGCAACUUGGAACAGGAGGGCAACUUGGAACAGGAGGGCAACUUGGAACAGGAGGGCAACUUGGAACUGGAGGACAGCUUGGAACUGGAGGACAGCUUGGAACUGGAGGAUUUGGAACGCUAGGGGGAGGUGGUGGAUACUCUCCUGCUUCAAAAGCUGCCAAAUAUGGAGUUGGAGGUCAACUUGGUACUGGAGGUCAACUUGGAACUGGAGGACAACUAGGAACCGGAGGUCAGCUUGGUACAGGAGGACUUGGAACACUUGGGGGAGGUGGUGGAUAUUCUCCUUCCUCCAAAGCUGCCAAAUAUGGUAUAACAGGAACUGGAGGACAACUCGGAACUGGAGGACAGCUUGUGCCAGGAGGACAGCUUGUACCAGGAGGACCAGGAACAGUAGGCAUAGGUGGUGGAUAUUCUCCUGCUUCAAAAGCAGCCAAAUAUGGUUUACCAGGAACAGGAGGUCAACUUGUACCAGGAGGACCUGGAGGAGUGGGAACACUAGGGGGAGGUGGUGGAUAUGCUCCUUCUUCCAAAGCUGCUAAAUAUGGAACAGGAGGUCAACUUUUACCAGGGGGUCAACUUGUACCAGGAGGUCAACUUGUACCAGGAGGAUCUGGAGCUGUAGGAACACUGGGGGAGGUGGUGGAUAUUCUCCUUCUUCUAAAGCUGCUAAAUAUGGAACAGGAGGUCAACUUGUACCAGGAGGUCAACUUGUGCCAGGAGGACAACUUGUACCAGGAGGACAACUUGUACCAGGACCUGGAUCAGUGGGUGGAGGAGGUGGUUAUGUUCCUGCUUCCAAGGCUGCUAAAUAUGGUUUACCAGGAACAGGAGGACAACUUGGAACAGGUGGACAACUUGGAACAGGUGGACAAAUUGUACCAGGAGGACCUGGAUCAGUGGGUGGAGGUGGUAGCUAUUCUCCUGCUGCCAAAGCUGCUAAAUAUGGUUUAA